CUGUGAAUGGCUCGAGGCUAACCUGUGCUAUUUAUAGUCUGAUUAGAGUGGGGCUGGUGGUAUAGGCAUUGCGGCAAAUUUGUGGAGGAGUUCGCUUACAGGCACUGCUAUCUGCUUCUGCUGCAUCGUGUGCCGUUAGGAGACCCGAGUGCUGGAGUCACUACAUCCAGUGAGCCAGUGAGGACUUGGUGUGGUGCAGGGGAGGCUAGGUGUGUGUGUGUGUGUGUGUGUGUGUGUACGCGUGCGCAGACGACCUGCCGGCCUGGCCCUGGAGAAUUACUUUAAUAAUCUUGUGGUGUGUUUCCUGGGAGAGAGAAUUUUAAUUUAUUUAUUUUUGUAUUGAUACUCCCGUCUCACUACAUCUUAUUUGUUUGCCCUCAAUUGGUAAAACGUACCUGUGUCCUUUAUUGGGAGUAUUUCCCUGGCACUCCACCAGGGUGGCGUAGUCUGAUUAAACCAAUUGUGAUUUAGGGUCUUUUAGACCUAUGUGAGUGCCACAGUAAGCAAUGUACUAUAAGGGGGUAAUUCUGUGCUCUGCAUUUAACCCAUCCAAGUGCACACAAACAGUAGUGAACAUACACCUGGAGCAGUGUUCGACUGCCCGUGUUAGCUUAGCAACUUUCUAAUGACAAACUCCACUGGAUCUAUUGCUCCACUUUGUCUACAAGACAAAAAGGCAGCACUCUAGAUUUUGGAACAAAGCCUUAAGGUCAUUGCACACUGACUUGUAUACCCCAUCCUUUUCUAUCAAAAUGCAUGCUACGGAUGCGAAAACGCAGAAAAUCAAACUUGAUCCGAAUUUUUGACGGUCAAAAGUUUCGGAGGCAGUGUGUAAACGUGAUUGACACAACGUGAGGUUGUAUUUGUUUUUUUAACGUGCGAAUAUUUCAGGCUCCGUAUGCAAUGACCGUUAGUGUCAAAAUGUCAAAUUGGCUUAUUGCAAUAAACAGAAUUAUUCAAGGGUAAGCCUUUGUGCAGAGUAGGUUGGUUAUUUCUUUAAGAACGAUAGAUUGGCAUAUUUAUGUGAAGACCAUACAAAAAGUUUCAAGCAUCACCACAACUUUGUUUUCUUUCACAAGUCAGUAAUCUGUGGAAUACAUCUUCAUAGAAACCUCAAUCACUGUUCAAUAAGAAACAUUAACAAGAGGGAAUACACGAAGACAAGCAGAAUAUACCAAAGGACCAACUCCUCAAGGAGAAGAAGCUGUGUUCAGCUGUCGUCAUAUGUGCAGUGAUUUGCCGACGGGCCCCCCGCUCUUCUAUGAGAAAGCAGACAUGAGGAAGAGGAUUUGGAAUGUAAAUGUCAGCUUUUUCGCAGAGAAAGGGAGAAAAAAUAAAGUUUCUACAUGACAACAGAUGAGCAAACUCCAGAAAAUCCUGGAAGGGUGCUUAAUUAUGGACUUUAUUUUUGUUCUCUCCUGCUCAAGACCUUAGAAAAAUUGCAAUGCGUCUUGCUGAAUGUCAGUGGAAACUGAGCGGAUCUGAAAUGUCAGAGCACGUAAAGGCUCAUGAAAGAAAAUACAAGAGGAAGAGUUGACAUUAAAAGCAGCAUUAUUACAAAGCAAGUGAUGAAACAUAAAUAUUGUGAAGUAUUGAUACCAUUGCAUAUGACAUUAACUAACCCACAUUAAAGUGGUAGGAGAUUUCUCAGUCUGGCAGACUCUAAUCUAAUUGGCUGGCUUUGUGCA